ensembl:lncRNA
AUAAGAAUAGAAUAAAUAGCGCAUUUCUAUAAAAUGUUUAACCUAGCUACACAUUUUGAACACAUUACACACAUGAACACUUUCAUGUUGUGGAUCAUUUAUUCAGUAUGUUGAAAUACAUGACUUGCAUUAAAAGUUCUUGCAUUAGAACAUUUAUGUAUCAUAUUUGAAGAGAAUAAUAUGUUUAUUCAGGUCGGCUCUAUCACUUCAAGCCAUACAAUUAUACACUGUGCAAAAUAGGAGGUAGAAAUUAUAGCAACAUUUUUAACACAGCUCAGUGCUUCUGUGUGUGUGUGUGUGUGGUUGUGUGUCUGUGUGUGUGUGUGUGUGUGUGUGUGUUCGCAUAUGUGUAUCUGUGUGUUGUGUUUAAAUCACUUACAUACAUAAUUGUUUGUAUAUUCAAAACUUAAAGUCUUCACAAUAUCGCCAUUGAGUGUAUAACUCUUGUCUGACUGGGUUGAGGUUAGCCAGCUUUCUAUUCCAAUCCAGACAGUAUGUCCUCUAAGAAUACUGCACGCUUUAUGUCGUCCAACCUCCAGUAUCAGACUAUAAUAUCCAGAUUCUCAUAGUUCCCACUAAGUCUUGGUGGAACUACCAUCCUGAAUAUCUGAUCCCCAACAUCUAUACAAACGUAUCUGUACAUUUAUUGCAAGAAUCUCUUUAGUGCUUUGGGAAUCAUACUGAGGUGUAAUUGAUCAGACAUAACCGUUCAGCCAGAGCCAGACACAUCACAGAGUUCAUGGAUGAUAGUUAGUUGGAACCCAGUAUAUCUACGGCUCUGGGUUCAACAGCACAACAUUGAUCCAUCCCCUUCACUAUACAUUAACACAUUUCCAAAGGCUCAGAGCAACUAGGUUUUGGAUGCAAGAGAGAGAGAGAAAGGUAAGAAGCAUUGCCAAAACAUGCAGCUAAAGUCAUUCUUAGGGGAAGGUUAGUUAUUUUGUAGGAUUUGAUACACAGGGAGGGAAGUUGUAGUAUUUGAACAAGGUUCCUGUUUCAUUCGGAGUACAUUAUGGGGGGUUGUACCAUUACAUACAAAUCAAAUCGCUAUGUCCAAGGUUAUCUCAGAGACAGGAAAUGCCGAGUUUGGGAGUAUGAUGUCUUAGACCGGUGUAAUAAGAGUCAGUUUUGAGUUUGUCGUAGAUGGUGUGUUAGUUUUAAGUUUGGGGUAGAUGGUGUGUUAGUUUUGAGUUUGGGGUAGAUGGUGUGUUAGUUUUGAGUUUGGGGUAGAUGGUGUGUUAGUUUUGAGUUUUGGGUAUAUGGUGUGUUAGUUUUGAGUUUGGGGUAGAUGGUGUGUUAGUUUUGAGUUUAGUUUAGGUUAGAUGGUGUGUGAGUUUUGAGUUUGGGGUAGAUGGUGUGUUAGUUUUGAGUUUGGGGUAUAUGGUGUGUGAGUUUUGAGUUUGGGGUAGAUGGUGUGUGAGUUUUGAGUUUGGGGUAGAUGGUGUGUGAGUUUUGAGUCUGGGGUAGAUGGUGUGUGAGUUUUGAGUUUGGGGUAGAUGGUGUGUGAGUUUUGAGUUUGGGGUAGAUGGUGUGUGAGUUUUGAGUUUGGGGUAGAUGGUGUGUGAGUUUUGAGUCUGGGGUAGAUGGUGUGUGAGUUUUGAGUUUGGGGUAGAUGGUGUGUGAGUUUUGAGUCUGGGGUAGAUGGUGUGUGAGUUUUGAGUUUGGGGUAGAUGGUGUGUGAGUUUUGAGUUUGGGGUAGAUGGUGUGUGAGUUUUGAGUUUGGGGUAGAUGGUGUGUGAGUUUUGAGUCUGGGGUAGAUGGUGUGUGAGUUUUGAGUUUGAGGCACCUUUCUUCCGAAAGCAGAUUGGAGAUGGACUAGGUAAGGGGUGUUGAGGAUUACAUGUUGAUUUUACCUCAAGAAAAUGAACCACAAAAAAAGACUAAUAAAGAUGUAAGUUUGUAAACAUAUGGCGACACUAGCAGGCCAUUAAACUUUCACUGUCAGUGGGCAAAACGAGUGUACAUUUUUCUGUACAUUUUACAGUGUCAUCAGGAGAAAAGGAAGGUUAACCAUUUCACGAGUGGAAGACAAAAAGGUGAAUUUCAUGAACACUUAAAGUGAGUUUCGCUCCGGAUGAAGAGCUGGACAAAUGAACGUACAUUUGAGUUUUGAAAAAGAGUGAGCAGUUUAAUGAGUGUAUGCGGUUCGUGUAAGAGUGAUGUUCACAGCUCCAGAAAAGUGUUUACCUUAGACACAGAUCUAGGAUCAGCUUAUGCUCCACUGAUCCUAACCUUAACCAUUAGGAGGAGAAACACUAAACUGACCGUAGCUCAGAGUCUAGGGGAAACUUCAUUAUCCUACUCCUUCUCUCCAUCCUCUCUAGUCUUGAAGUUAAAGAGAGAUCCCAGAGAGUUGUG